GAAUGAUUAAGCUGACUACUAACAUCCUGUAACUAGGAACAGACUUCCCUUAAGGGGAAUUAUUACUCAAUUACGGCAAUUUUGUAACCUUUUCUGAGACUUUCAGUGCGGACAGGACUUUGGCUGAGUGCAACUCUUGGCAUGGCAAUGAGAAGAAGAAUCUUGGAGCUGUAGUAAUAUUAGGAAGAGUGAGUGCAGGAACAAAGCCAGAGGUUUAUCUUUCUUUUCUUUUUUUUCUUUUCUUUCCUGUUUUUUCUUCUUUUCCUUCUUACAGAAGCUGCAGUUCAAUUUCAUUUGGGAUGUUUCAUGGGAAGGCAAUGAAUAAAUGAUGAAUAAAUCAGAGAGAGCAAUGCAAACUGACCUACGCUGGAGGAAGGAGGAACUGCAAAAAAGAUCUUUCCUAUUUUCUGGGACCCUUCAUAUCAGGCUAAGGGUGAAGGACUGGGGGAUUGGAGCCUAUAGUAGAGUUCUCUUCCAAUCUAUGAUUGCUGCUUAAUAAUCCACGUGUGUGAAGAAUUCAGAAGCCUGGAGAAAGGUAAGCAAGUAAUGAGAAACCGAGGUAAAUGCUUUACUGCCUUUAGAAGGGUCUUUAUUGAAAACUUACUGAAGGCAAUGCAAAUCUUCCUGUUAUAUACAGUGAUGACUUUCUCAAAGGACAGAUAGUCACCACUACACUUGAAUUCAAAAUAUAUUAGUACAUGGAGUGUUUAGCUUCUAUUUGCUGAACAUGGGAUGAGAUGAUUGCCA
rnacentral:lncRNA from 1 species